UUGAGUGAAAUCAAUGUAAGACCUACACUUUGGAAAUAGAACCCAUAUAAAGUGGUGAGACAUACAUUAAUUUUACCUAA
rnacentral:pre_miRNA from 1 species